rnacentral:rRNA from 1 species
AUUGAACGCUAGCGGGAUGCUUUACACAUGCAAGUCGAGCGAGCGGCGGACGGGUGCGUAAUGUAUGGGGACUGCCCGAUAGAGGGGGAUAACUACUGGAAACGGUAGCUAAUACCGCAUACUAUCGGAUAACCCAUAUGGGAGUAGCUAGUAGGUGAGGUAAUGGCUCACCUAGGCGACGAUCCCUAGCCGGUUUGAGAGGAUGAUCAGCCACACUGGGACUGAGACACGGCCCAGACUCCUACGGAGGCAGCAGUAGGGAAUAUUGCACAAUGGGCGAAAGCCUGAUGCAGCCAUGCCGCGUGUAUGAAGAAGGCCCUAGGGUUGUAAAGUACUUUCAGUCGGGAGGCGUUACCGACAGAAGAAGCACCGGCUAACUCCGUGCCAGCCGCCGCGGUAAUAC